rnacentral:rRNA from 1 species
UACGCAGGCGGCUGCGCAAGACAGGUGUGAAAUCCCCGGGCUUAACCUGGGAACUGCAUUUGUGACUGCGCAGCUAGAGUUUGUCAGAGGGGGGUGGAAUUCCACGUGUAGCAGUGAAAUGCGUAGAGAUGUGGAGGAACACCGAUGGCGAAGGCAGCCCCCUGGGACCUGACUGACGCUCAUGUACGAAAGCGUGGGGAGCAAACA